AAAGCGAAUAGUGAAAUAUGAUGGCUCAACCAUCAGAACAUUAUUCGAACUCACAGACUCGAGAAUGGUAGAGGUAGCUGGAAUUUCUAGUGUAGGGGUAAUAUCCGUAGAUAUUAGAAGGAACACCAAUGGCGUAGGCAGGCUACUGGACCAUUUCUGACGCUGAGGCACGAAAGCGUGGGGAGCGAACCGGAUUAGAUACCCGGGUAGUCCACGCCGUAAACGAUGGAUGCUA
rnacentral:rRNA from 1 species